rnacentral:rRNA from 1 species
CAUGAAGCUGGAAUCGCUAGUAAUCGCGGAUCAGAAUGCCGCGGUGAAUACGUUCCCGGGUCUUGUACACACCGCCCGUCACACCAUGGGAGUCGGAAAUGCCCGAAGUCUGUGACCCAACCUCAGGGAGGGAGCAGCCGAAGGCAGGUCGGAUGACUGGGGUGAAGUCGUAACAAGGUAUC